rnacentral:lncRNA from 1 species
GAAGGUAUUAAGAGAAGCCAGGCAGGCCAAGGAGGAAGAACCUGAAGACAUUAAGAGAAGACCAGGCAGGCCAGGUGAGGAAGAACCUGAAGACAUUAAGAGAAGGCCAGGCAGGCCAGGUGAGGAAGAACCUGAAGACACUAAGAGGC